rnacentral:lncRNA from 1 species
GGCGCGCACCCGUCGGCGCCGAGCGCGCAGCCUGCUCCACCGCCGCCUCUUGGUCCCGCCGCCGCCGCUGCCGCCGCCGCCGGGCAGAGGCCGGGGACCGGAGAAAGGAGGAGCGGAGAAGGAGAAGGAGGAGAGCACGGCCUGGCUGGGACAGAAGCGGUGGGACCCUGGGAGGCCUCCGCUGUGCCCGUGCCGCGCUCCUCGGGACCAGCGCGUCGCACACAAAGGGGCUGCCGAGCCAGAGCCACCAGCGGCCUCAGGGCACCGUGGGGAGCGCGCAGCUAGGGGGCGCUGUGGCGCACCCCGCCCCGCAGCCCCGCCCCCGGCCCUCCCCGGCCCCACCCCACUCCCACCGCCCUCUCCGCGGCCGUCCCCACCCCUAUCUCCGCGACCCCCACUCCUCCUCGGCUGUUCCCCAACCCUGUCACUGUGCUCCCCUCCCUACUCCCGGCCCGUAGUGGAGGUGACUUUCCUGCGCAGCGCCGCUUCUGAGGGCGGAGAACCCACAGGGAGUGCGACCCCUUUGCACGCUGUGAGUGGGCAACUGUCCGAGGGACUCGAGCCGAUCGAAGGGUGAGGACCAGCUCGCCUGGGGGUGGACGGCCUGGAAAAGCCGCCCCUCUUUGGCUUCCCUCUGCCGCCUGCAGCCCGCACCCCUCCGAGAUUCGUGCCCCACUGGACGGUUUGCGAAGGCUGAGGCUGCCUUGGGGACUCACAAAAGACCACAGGGGUGAUUCGAAGUGUAAAUAGGGAAACAAUCAUCAGCACACAAUCCGGCUAAAGGGAUAACAUAUGAGUUUGCUUGUUGUCCUUCAUGGGAUUCUUCUCUUUUUAUAGCUGGACGCCCUAUAGGGCUCUUGGCAGUCCACGAAAGACCUGGAGUCCGCCUCCCCAUUUCUCCGGUCGGUGAGUGGCAGGAGGAAAUCGCCAAACAUGUUUUCCCGCUUUGCCUCCCCAACUCGGAAACUUGCAACUUGCCGUGUCCUGGAGGUUGAGACAAUUUGGGGUCUCUUGGCUGCCGUCCAACAGAUUUAUCUCUGAGGGCAGUGUCCUUGGUGAGAGGUCCAAGUAGGUGUGGGCGACAUUGUCCUCCAUCUCAUGAGGGAGCAGCCCUGCACACUAGGGCCCAAAACUCUGCGAAGGAGCUUGGAAGUUCUUCAUCCGUUCCACUUGUUUUGCUACUCCACACACCCUUCUAGGACAUGUUGAUUGCCAACUGCUCUGUGCAGCUUUCCCAUAGCUGUCUGUUCCCGUGCAUUUCGGAGCACCAAGCAAAUACGAGCAGAGAGACCUGGAAAAAAAAAUGAUGAAGACAGUAUUAAUGAUAAAAUUAACAUGGCUGAGUGAAUUGUCAAUGCAAGUUCCUUUACUAACUCUUUGUUAAGUUUUGCUUUGUACUCCUUACAUCCUCUUUCUCUUAAGCCAUUGUUUUAAUUUCUUCUCGUUAUCAUUUUUAAAAGUAACAGAAAUACAGCUUUCUUCCUACCUUCACGAUUGACUUGGUGGAGGUUGGGUUGCAAAGAGGAAGCAGUAAGAAAAAAUAAUUAUUCUAUACAUUCACAAGUCCUUCAAGGCACAAAAUAAAAGUAAGAAAUAGAAAAUAUGUCCUUUCUCCUAAUAAAGGUCUUUAUAAUAAAAUUUAAAUGAAGUUUUGUGUUUCAUAACAGCUUCCCAAAUACUGUUGUAGAUACUAAAAUGUGCCUGUAUGUAUUUCCUUCCACAAUAAUAAUAGUAAUAAUAAACUUUUUUAGGUCCAAAUUAAACAUUUCUCAGCUUAAAUUUCUAUCCUCAAUCCAACAUUUAUUAUAUCAAAACUUGAUUUUUAAAAAUAAAACUUUCUUGGAAUU